AAUGUGAGGAUGAGUUUUUGGAAUGCCUCCAAGUCUUGACAUCUCUUCCAACACCUACAAUUGUUCCGUACAGAGAUGAUGUGAACAGAGGGCUACGUCCUGUCCUGAAUGACAAAAAGCGAGUCAUUCGAAAAGUCGCUGCUACUACCAGGUCUUCGUGGAUUCUUGUUGGUGCUCCAGGGGGUUCUUAGCCCACUUGAUAUCUUUUUUAGGUACUUUCUACAGUUCUAGAAGAAUUUUCUUUACUUUUUUUCCCCUUUAUCUCCUUUGUUUGUUUGUUUUUUUAUUGGCUUUUGUUUCUUCCUCUUUUUAUUAUUGUUAUUAGUUUAGAUGAUAAAUAUUUGUUGAAGUGUUUCUUUUAAUCUAAAAUGUAUUUAAAGAUACUAUAAGUUGAGAAUAUUCUAAGGUCAGAUAUGUUUAAAAAAAAUAAUUUGUUUAUUUAAGCAUCUCCAAACUUUAUUCCAUAUCCUAUUAGGACUUAAAGAAAAAAAAUUAAAUGGUUUGUGUCAGUAUAUUGCAUAAAACAAAUUUUCAAACACUCACUUAAAAGAAAUCUGAUUCACAAAAUUAUUCCUAAUUAUCCCAAUUUCUUUAGUUUUUUACUCCAGAACUGCAUAGGUAUUGUCUUUUGAUUUUCAUAGAUGUCAGAGAGAAUAAAUGUUUGGAUUCAGGUAUUAAGUUAAGAGAGGUGAAGUUUUUACUUGUUUUCUAAGAUGAUUUUUUUUACAUACAGCACAUUUAAUUUGGUUGUAAGAAUUUUAUAGCAAUAAAUGCUGUAAACUCGA